AUUGAACGCUGGCGGCAGGCCUAACACAUGCAAGUCGAGCGGAUGAAGGGAGCUUGCUCCUGGAUUCAGCGGCGGACGGGUGAGUAAUGCCUAGGAAUCUGCCUGGUAGUGGGGGAUAACGUCCGGAAACGGGCGCUAAUACCGCAUACGUCCUGAGGGAGAAAGUGGGGGAUCUUCGGACCUCACGCUAUCAGAUGAGCCUAGGUCGGAUUAGCUAGUUGGUGGGGUAAAGGCCUACCAAGGCGACGAUCCGUAACUGGUCUGAGAGGAUGAUCAGUCACACUGGAACUGAGAAACGGUCCAGACUCCUACGGGAGGCAGCGGUGGGGAAUAUUGGACAAUGGGAGAAAGCCUGUUCCAGCCAUGCCGCGUAUGUGAAGAAGGUCUUCGGAUUGUAAAGCACUUUAAGUUGGGAGGAAGGGCAGUAAGUUAAUACCUUGCUGUUUUGACGUAACCAACAGAAUAAGCACCGGCUAACUUCGUG
rnacentral:rRNA from 1 species